AUGGGGGCGUGUGCGACGAAGCCUGCUGAUCUCAAGGUAAAAGGUGAGGCGCCGGUGGUUCUGGAGGACGCCGCGGAGAAGAAGGUCGCCUGUGUGGCUGUGGCUGAAACUGAACCGGCCGCCGAUGGGAGUCGCCGGAGGUCUCUCAGCGACCUGCUCAAAGAGAACGACGAGAGUGACGUCGAGGCUCCGGAGGCAGAGAAGAAGGCUGAAGAACCUGCAGCAGCUACCGCUGUUGAAAAUGGAGCGACAGAGCAGCAGCUAGCAGUUGAGCCCUCCACUGCGACGACCGAGCCAAAUCACACGGCCGAAAUCCUGGAGCCAGAGGAUGCACGGGAUGCGCAGGUGGUGGAAGAAGAGAAGCGUGUGGAUCCUGAUUCAGUUCAGAACGACGAGAGUGACGUCGAGGCUCCGGCGGCAGAGAAGAAGGCUGAAGAACCUGCAGCAGCUACCGCUGAUGAAAGUGAAGCGACGGAGGAGCAGCUAGCAGUUGAGCCCUCCAUUGCGACGACCGAGCCAAAUCACACGGCCGAAAUCCUGGAGCCUGAGGCUGCAGAGGAUCCCCAGACACAUCCACAGGUGGUGGAAGAAGAGAAACAUGUGGAUCCUGAUUCAGUUCAGGUUACUGUUGUUGAUUCUGCUGAAAGUGUUGAAGAGAGCAAGGUCGUCGCCGAUGCGUCUACCUGA
rnacentral:rRNA from 1 species